rnacentral:rRNA from 1 species
AUUGAACGCUGGCGGCAUGCCUUACACAUGCAAGUCGAACGGCAGCACGGGAGCAAUCCUGGUGGCGAGUGGCGAACGGGUGAGUAAUAUAUCGGAACGUGCCCAGUAGUGGGGGAUAGCCCGGCGAAAGCCGGAUUAAUACCGCAUGAGACCUGAGGGUGAAGGCGGGGGAUCGCAAGACCUCGCGCUACUGGAGCGGCCGAUAUCAGAUUAGCUAGUUGGUGGGGUAAAGGCCUACCAAGGCAACGAUCGUGUAGUUGGUCUGAGAGGACGACCAGCCACACUGGGACUGAGACACGGCCCAGACUCCUACGGGAGGCAGCAGUGGGGAAUUUUGGACAAUGGGCGCAAGCCUGAUCCAGCAAUGCCGCGUGCAGGAAGAAGGCCUUC